GGGAACUCAGGACAAUCUGUAUUAGAACGCCUACUGACAACAGCAGUGACAAGAGUGAAUGGAGCCUUGGCAUUGUUAGAGAGCUGCACUAAUGCAUGUAUUAUGAAAAUGAGUAAACUAGUAAGGAAGCUGCCUUAGUUAGCCUGGUAGAAGUUAAACACAGAUACAGGCUAGGGGGAGAAUAUCUUGAGAGCAGCCCUGGGGAGAAGAAUUUGUGCACGUUGGUUGAUGAAAGACCUAACAUGAGCCAGCAAUGUGCGCUUGCAGCCCAGAAGGCCAACUGUGUCCUGCAUUGCAUCAAAAGAAGCAUGACCAUCAGGUUGAGGGAGGUGGUUCUGCUUGUCUGCACUUGUGAAAACCCACCUGGAGUACUGCGUCCAGUUCUGCAGCCCCCAACAUAAG
rnacentral:lncRNA from 1 species